ACGUCACAACGGCUUCCUGGCGUGGCGUGAACAACAAACGGAGCA
rnacentral:ncRNA from 1 species